rnacentral:lncRNA from 1 species
GCAGUAUUCUGUUUUACUUGUCUUCAGAGGACCACGGGAAGCGCAGAGCCGAAACGUGUGGGAUCUGGGGCUGCGCAGUGAGAGAGGCGGGAAGGAGGUCCGCUGCAGCGGAGAGUGCUGCCAGCGCCCUUCUGGAGAGUUGAAAAUCGGAGAGGAGAGCUGUGCUGCAGAAGAAAAGAGAGCUUGAAAGAGCAUGAAAAGCAGAGUCCCUGAGCAUAAAUCGUCAUUUGAAAGAUACCCUGUGUCCUAAAACUCAGUAACGGAAGUUUGCCCUUCUUCACUUUCUCCGGCACUGUAUCUCAGAGCUUCCUCCUCCUCCCCAAGGUCACAAGUGCUUUCAGACUCUCCCUGGCCCUUAUCUGAUCCACAGAUAAUCUUUUGAAGAAAACAUUCUCAGAGGUGACUUCAUGUGUCAGCCCUUCUUAAAUGUGAAAUGCAGAACACUGAGAAUGAAAUGCAGAACACUGAGAAAUUACUGCUUUAACCCAAAGGGAUGACUUUCCUAGUGGAAGAAUUUUUAUACCCUGGCAUUUGAGCCAGGAAAAUUCAAGGACCAAGGACUCUUAAAUCACCUCAGGUUUGCAAUCACCUGGUCUGAGAACCUAAUAGAUUGACCAAGCAGAAAAAAGUUUUGAGGAGUGGUGUAUCCUGAUGAUGAGACAAUGUUGGCUUCAAGUGAAUCCUCAAGGAAAUAAGGCAAACUGUCAAAUACCCCUGAGACAAGAAAGAUUUAAAAAAAAGUAGCAUCUCAAUUAUCAGGUCGCUAAAAUCAUCUCAGAAAAUAAUGCAGCUGGUGGGGAGGGGUAGCUCACAUGUGUGAGCCACUGGGUUCGAUUCUCAGCACCACAUAAACAUAAAUAAAUAAGGCUAUUGGUUCCAUCUACAACUAAAAAUUAUUAAGAAAGAAAAGAAUGCAAACCUUUGAAAUUUGAUUUCACAUUGGCCAUGUUUAGAAACCCCAGGGACAAGAACAAUAGACUUCACUUAUGCUCCAGAUGUGUGGAAGUUCCACAAAAGAUCAGUCUAUUACAAUUGGGUCAGCCUCAAGAAUUU